GCCAGUGUGGUUUAGUGGUUUGCCCACUGGACUACAGCUCUGGCAAACAGAGUUCAAAUCCCCGCUUGGGCA